GCGCAGCAGGCGAGAAAACUCCGCAAUGCUCGAAAGAGUGACGGGGGAUUCCAAGUGCCUACGCUUAGCGUAGGCUGUUCAGAUGCCUAAAAAGCAUCUGGAGUAAGGGCUGGGUAAGACGGGUGCCAUCUGCAGUGGUAAUGAAAAACUUGCUACUGCAAGGCAUAAGCCGCCGCGGUAAUACCCGCAGCCCGAGUGGUAGUCGCUUUUAUUGGGCCUUAAAGCGUCCGUAGCCGGUCUGGUAAAUGCCUGGGUAAAUCGUGGGGCCUAACCUCACGAACUCCGGGUAGACUGCCAGACUUGGGACCGGUUGAGGGAGAGGGUACUCCAGGGGUAGGGGUGAAAUCCUGUAAUCCUUGGAGGACCACCGGUGGCGAAAGCGCUCUCCGUAGGACGGUCGACGGUGAGGGGACGAAA
rnacentral:rRNA from 1 species